GUGGGGAAUAUUCCGCAAUGGACGAAAGUCUGACGGAGCAACGCCGCGUGAGUGAUGAAGGUUUUCGGACUGUAAAGCUCUGUUGUUUAGGACGAAAGUGCCUGUUGCAAAUAGUUACAGGUAUUGACGGUACUGAACGAGGAAGCCACGGCUAACUACGUGCCAGCAGCCGCGGUAAUACGUAGGUGGCAAGCGUUGUCCGGAAUUAUUGGGCGUAAAGAGCAUGUAGGCGGGAAUCUAAGUCUGUUGUGAAAAUGCGGGGCUCAACCCCGUAUUGCGAUGGAAACUGGGUUUCUUGAGUGCAGGAGAGGAAAGGGGAAUUCCCAGUGUAGCGGUGAAAUGCGUAGAUAUUGGGAGGAACACCAGUGGCGAAGGCGACUUUCUGGACUGUAACUGACGCUGAGGCGCGAAAGUGUGGGGAGCAAACAGGAUUAGAAACCCUGGUAGUCC
rnacentral:rRNA from 1 species